rnacentral:pre_miRNA from 1 species
UCUUCAAUCUUCACACUCUCUCACCGGUCAGAGAGGCGAGAGAGUGUAUGAAAUGAAGAGA